rnacentral:tRNA from 1 species
GAAAAAGCUGGAAGGGGACUAUGGCUGCUAACUGUGGUUUGAGUGGUUUGAGUCCAUUUCUUUUUUUA